AUAAACCUAUCAGACAAGCCCUCUGUAUCAGAUAUCGAAAGGCCUGAUGUGAAAGCAAUGGGAAGAAGCAGUGGCAUAGAAACAGACAGGUGCGGGUGCCUUCUGAAAACAUCACACAAAUCCUGCACCAGAAACUUCCUCUGAUAUGCUGGCGAUCACCAUUGCCAUCAUUCACCAACUGUCAGGGCUGCAUCCCAGACACACAUGCGUGGAAUUUUAAGCACAGCCACUUGCUUCCAGGACUUUCUCAAUAAGAUCAGAAGCUGUUUUCAUUCAGAGCUCUGUUCAUCCUAUGGCUGAAGGUGUAGCAAAACGACGAAGGAUGCAAUUACCAGAGAUCCUAUACUCUGUCUCGCUCGCUUCAGAGCACGCAGCUCCAGAAAUGGAUGACAUCAGAGUGCAGUAGAGAUGGUGGCAGCAGCAAAUGCAGCAGGAGCAGCAGAAGCAACAGCCACCACCACUCGCUGAGCAGCCAGAGGAGCUAUAGACAAUGAAAAGGAGUUGGGGGGUGAGAAGAGGGAAAGCCUGGAAAGCCUGAUUAAGAAUGCUGAUUAAUUGCCGUCUCAUUCUUAGCUACCUGAAAGUAAUGCUGCAUCUGGUAAUGAACGCAUUGAGUGGACUAAGAACUGUUCAUCUGGGAAAUGGGCUGCGAGUGGGCCAUGUCCACUCCUCAUUGGUCAAGAGAACUACAUCCAUAUGGAUAGCAAGGCCGGGCCUUUGGAAGGAAGGAAGCAAGCAAGCAAGCAAGCAAGCAAGCAAGCUCCAGCUGAGCUUCAAUUUUUAUUCUUGGAUCUUCAGGGCCAUUUUGACUUCAGAGGUGAACAUUUUAUCAUGAUCAAAUCAUGGCCACCCAAAACAAACAAGCACAAUAAUUGGGUCUGGUCUCCUGGUCUCAACAGUUCCAAGAAGGCUCCACACCCAUUUGCAAUACUCAGGUGACCCUGACGACACAGAUAAACCUCCAGGUCUCAAUGACUCUCUAAAAAGAAUGCAAAUGAUCAGCUGUCUGCAAGGAGUAUAAAUCCUUCCAUUCCCCACCAUCCAGCCAGAGCUGAAGAAGCUUCUUGGAUGAGAAAUGAAACGUCUUCAAAGAAAAACCAGAAAGUCCAGUUGCCUCUUGAAAAAGCACCUUUUGGACAACCAUGACCUGGAUAACUGAGAAUCUCCAUAGAUGUCUGGUCUCCUGGACUUCUAGCUCUUAUUCAGUAUCCAAAAUGCAGCUUUGUUGAAUCCUCGGGCCCUUAUACAUCUUGGACAACUUUGCUUCUCCUUCAGAAAUGAUUUUUUUUUUUUUAAAUUUAGGUCAUUUGAAAUUGCUUGUAUACCAACAACACAAACCAGAUUGGCCUCUAAGAAUUGAAAAGAAAAUCAAGAGCAAGGUCAUAGCUGAAAGUUAACCUCCAUUUGACCAAUCCAAAUCUAGAAAUAAGUAAGCAGAUUCUGGGACUCAUUUUAACUGUGCUGCACACAAUUAAAAAAUUCCUAAAAUGGAGGACUAUUUGCUGCUGAAACUGGGCUCUCAAAUUGAAAUUUUAUCUCUAGGACGAUGAAGAAAGAAAGAUUCAACAGUUUUUUGAAACAAAAUUUUGAAACUGGAUUCCAGCAAGCAAAAUUCAUUUCUACUUUAUCCACAAUAUGCAGCGGAAAAGAUGCUAGCACUGAACCUCAACGAUAAUUUGCAGCAUUAUUUAAAGAUUAAAGAUACGGAAGCAGCAGGACCAUGGAGAGCACUCAGCGACAUGAAAGGAAAACAAGACUAUGAAAGUCACAAGCAUAAGGCAAAGGUUGAAAUGCCAACCAGAACACGACGAUUCCCUUCCAUUUGAAGAGGUAUAUAUGCAUUUCCUUCCCUUUCUACUGAAAAUGGAAAGUGCCAAUCAGCAUGCAAAAGAGAAGGACAAGAAGAAUACAUAAAAAGACAAGCACAACACCCUGUCCAUAAUGAAAAAUUAUGAUUUGUUUUAGGUCUGAAUCUGGCCUGAAAAUCAGUAAGGUAAGGAUAUCAGGAGAAUAUCAGCUAUAAUUAAAUUGUUGCUCAUACCAGGGGCCAAUAUGCAUUUUUGACUUUAAAGGUAGUUAUGGCAAAUUUUGUGGUCAAAUGUUAUAAUUCCUACGUGUGUGUCUGUGAGAGAGAGAGAGUGUGUGUGUAUAUAUGUAUGUAUGUAUGUAUGUAUGUAUGUAUGUAUGUAUGUAUUGUCUGUCUAUUAUAUCUAUUUGUCUACUUUAAUCAUGCAAAAGAAUGAAUUGCUAAGGAAGGUCUUAAUAGGAUAAUAAUGUAUUUUGAAUACAAUUAGAAACUAUGGUGAACAUACAGGAUGACCUUAAAAGAAGAUCCAUUACUAAGGUAACAAUAUGAUAAAUAAGGCUUGAGACCAGACCAAGAAAAGGCUUUACAAAAAACCACCUUAGACAGCCCCCUCCCCAUUUGCACAUCCAGAUAAAAUGAGGAAAGCAAGAAGAUACAGUUUUGCUAGAUUCUGAUACUAUAGCUUUCUAAUAAGAAUGGCUUUAGAUCUAUCUGGUAUCUGCUUCUUAGUCUGGUCUACCUUAUAGGGCUGAAACAAAAUCAUAUAUGACUGAGAUGAGGGCUUAAAGUCAGUGUUCUAAAAUUCUGGCAGAACAUUUUCCCCACUGGGUUUAGCCUACUAAUGCUCUAAGUCAUGGGUGUCAAACUCACGGGAUCAUGUUGCCAUCACAUGAUGUUUCAUGACAUUUUUUCCCUUCACGGAGCUGGGGUGGGCAUGGCCUGCACAUGACGCACUUGGUCCAUGGGCCGCCAGUUUGACACCCCUGCCCUAAGUAAACUAUUGGUUCACUUGAGUAAAAAUAAUGGCAAAGAGGUAUAUUAUCAUAAAUCUGAAAUCUGUGAUAUCUUUGGAGAAGUAAGCAGAUGCUUCACCAAUCAUAAGGGAUACUGUCAUCCAAAGAAAUAUGGUACCUUAUUAAAAGAUAAGGCUUUACUGUAACCAAAUAUCUUAGGAAUAUUACUAUUUUAAGCUUGAGAAGGGUAUUCAUAUUCCACUUAUUGGAUUCCAGGUUCUGGUUUAUUCUAUAUCUUAUCCACUUAUGUGAUAUUUAUGAGAUUUAAUCAACAGCUUAUGUGCUAUCACACAGUUUACACCAAGGAGGACUACAGUUUGAAAAUCUCAUCCAACAUUUAAUUAAAAUUUCAAAAAGAAGACACACACAUACACAAACAUCAUACAAUUCUUGCUAGAUAUGAUGCCGAGAAACAAAUUUAUGAAAGCAUGCUUCAUACAAAAAAACACUGUAUACAGAUGAACUCUGUAACUAUAUGUUGCUAUUUGUUCUCUCUAUUGUAUUUGUUGAUCAAUGAUUGAAAUAAAAGAGUAUUAUUUGUAAGCUGUGGUGAGCUGCAGUGAG